UUUCUAACACUAUAAAUAUAGCAGGCAAGGAGCACCAUUUUGAUAUCCAUAGCAUCAGUAUCUGUAUUUGUUCAGUUGGGGUCUCUGUGUUUUAUUCCAUUUUAUUUGAUCUUUUUAACAUCUUGAUUGAAGAAGAAAUAAUGUUGGCGAUAUUCAAGAAAGGGUUGGUGAAUCCACCUCAAGAGCUGAAUAGCCCAGCUUCAUUG
rnacentral:misc_RNA from 1 species